CACAUCCUUGCCAGCAUUUGUUAUUUUCCAUUGUGUUGGUGUAAAGUGUAUCUCACUAUGGGUGUAAAGUGGUACCUCACUGUAGUGGUUUGUUUUUUUCUUAAGUGGGCUCCACACGUAACGUGGGGCUUGAGACCCUGAGCUUCAGAGUCGUGUGCUCCACUGACUAAGCCAGGUGGCUGCCCCUCGCUGUGGUUUUGACUUGCGUUUCCUCACGGCCAGAAGAUGUUCCACAACUUCUCCUGUGCUUCUCAGCAAUUUUGAAAAGCUGCUGUUUCAUCACAUUUAAAGGUCAUCUGAGAGAAAAUUAAUUUCAUUUCUGCCACUGUUUCUUUUCACUAUUUUUUUCUAAAAGACAAGAAGUUAAGUCCUUUCAUGUUGAGGACUUUUUCUCAAAGCAGAUACGUAUUUAUUGUAACCAUGAAGGAAAGGACCGCUUCGUUUUUCUUUGAACACCAUGGAAGGGAUAUCAGUAAGAAGAACGUUCUUGCACCGGGAAGACCAAGAACUUUCUACCUUGGGAUGAAAUGCCACCUGCAGGCUCCUGCUCAGAACACAGUGAAGCUAGGAGAAGGCCAAACCCCGACAAGACCACGUGCAGGUGUCCAGGGCCAGAAUGAGACCAGGACCAGACCCUGAGCGAUGGGGCCAGCUAGGAAGUGGGUCUUCCCGCCUCACAGAAGGUGGGCUUUCCAGAUGGUAACACCCAGGAUCUGUGAGCGGGCAGCAGGGUGUGGGGGAGGAGGCAAUGGCUGCUUUUUAUGCCAUCAAGUUCAAGGAGUUUCUAACACACCAGUAGCAACUAUGAGGGGAAAUUGACAUAUUUAUAAUGUCUUUGAAUACACAGUCUUUGUAGGUCUUUACACCAAAGUCUUCUUUAUGCCCCUAAAAUGGUAUUUUCUUCAUAAAGGAUAUACACGUCUCUUACUAAGUUUAUUGCUAAGUAUUUUGUUGCUAGUUUGCUAUGAUAAACACCAUUUCUAUCAA